AGGACGAACGCUGGCGGCGUGCCUAAUACAUGCAAGUCUAAGGGGUUGCUUUCCUUCGGGAGAGCGAUCACUGGCGCACGGGUGAGUAACACGUAAGUCAUCUGCCCUUGGGUCUGGCAUAACUCCGGGGAAACCGGAGCUAAUACCAGAUGACACCUGACGCGAGAGCGUCGAGGUCAAAGUUUCGACGCCCAGGGAUGAGCUUGCGUCUGAUUAGCUAGUUGGCGGGUAAAGGCCCACCAAGGCGACGAUCAGUAGCCGGUCUGAGAGGAUGAUCGGCCACAUUGGGACUGAGACACGGCCCAGACUCCUACGGGA
rnacentral:rRNA from 1 species